AUUGAACGCUGGCGGCAUGCCUUACACAUGCAAGUCGAACGGCAGCGCGGGGCAACCUGGCGGCGAGUGGCGAACGGGUGAGUAAUAUAUCGGAACGUACCCUGGAGUGGGGAUAACGUAGCGAAAGUUACGCUAAUACCGCAUACGAUCUAAGGAUGAAAGCAGGGGACCGCAAGGCCUUGUGCUCCUGGAGCGGCCGAUAUCUGAUUAGCUAGUUGGUGGGGAAAGGCCUACCGAGGCAUCGAUCAGUAGCUGGUCUGAGAGGACGACCAGCCACACUGGAACUGAGACACGGUCCAGACUCCUACGGGAGGCAGCAGUGGGGAAUUUUGGACAAUGGGCGCAAGCCUGAUCCAGCAAUGCCGCGUGAGUGAAGAAGGCCU
rnacentral:rRNA from 1 species